rnacentral:rRNA from 1 species
CCUACGGGAGGCAGCAGUGAGGAAUAUUGGUCAAUGGGCGCGAGCCUGAACCAGCCAAGUAGCGUGAAGGAUGACUGCCCUACGGGUUGUAAACUUCUUUUAUAAAGGAAUAAAGUGAGGCAUGUGUGCCUUUUUGUAUGUCUUUUAUGAAUAAGGAUCGGCUAACUCCGUGCCAGCAGCCGCGGUAAUACGGAGGAUCCGAGCGUUAUCUGGAUUUAUUGGGCUUAAAGGGAGCGUAGAUGGGUUGUUAAGUCAGUUGUGAAAGUUUGCGGCUCAACCGUAAAAUUGCAAUUGAUACUGGCGGCCUUGAGUACAGUUGAGGUAGGCGGAAUUCGUGGUGUAGCGGUGAAAUGCUUAGAUAGCACGAAGAACUCCGAUUGCGAAGGCAGCCUACUA